rnacentral:rRNA from 1 species
UAGUGUAGCGGUGAAAUGCGUAGAUAUUAGGAGGAACACCAGUGGCGAAGGCGGCUUGCUGGACGACAACUGACGCUGAGGCGCGAAAGCGUGGGGAGCAAACAGGAUUAGAUACCCUGGUAGUCCACGCUGUAAACGAUGAAUACUAGGUGUGGGGGGACUGACCCCCUCCGUGCCGCAGUUAACACAAUAAGUAUUCCACCUGGGGAGUACGACCGCAAGGUUGAAACUCAAAGGAAUUGACGGGGGCCCGCACAAGCAGUGGAUUAUGUGGUUUAAUUCGACGCAACGCGAAGAACCUUACCAGGAUUUGACAUCCCACUAACGAAGUAGAGAUACAUUAGGUACCCUUCGGGGGAAGUGGAGACAGGUGGUGCAUGGUUGUCGUCAGCUCGUGUCGUGAGAUGUUGGGUUAAGUCCCGCAACGAGCGCAACCCCUAUUGUUAGUUGCUACGAAAGAGCACUCUAGCGAGACUGCCGUUGACAAAACGGAGGAAGGCGGGGACGAUGUCAAAUCAUCAUGCCCCUUAUGUCCUGGGCUACACACGUAAUACAAUGGCGUUUAACAAAGGGAAGCAAAGCCGCGAGGUGGAGCAAAUCCCCAAAAGGCGUCUCAGUUCGGAUUGCAGGCUGAAACCCGCCUGCAUGAAGCUGGAAUUGCUAGUAAUCGUGGAUCAGCAUGCCACGGUGAAUACGUUCCCGGGCCUUGUACACACCGCCCGUCACACCAUGAGAGUCGGGAACACCCGAAGUCCGUAGCCUAACCGCAAGGAGGGCGCGGCCGAAGGUGGGUUCGAUAAUUGGGGUGAAGUCGUAACAAGGUAGCCGUAUCGGAAGGUGCGGCUG